ensembl:lncRNA
GACAUUUAAUCAAUGUAGGCAAACUUUUUGCAAACUAUUGAUACUAAAUCUGUUGUUCCUGCCCCUGCCUGGUGCCAGGCCCAACAGAUGCAACUUCAGGCUCAUCAGCCCUGUCUGUCCAUCCUCAUAACCCUCAACCUGCCCUACUCCCAACUGAAAGAGGUCCUUGAGGGAGAUGUGAGGGACAAAAUCCGUUGGGGAGCAGGAACAACCUGAGAACAUGGAUCUGUUUGCACAAAAGAAAUAAAAACAAAAUAAGAAUGGUGAACUGAGCAAUUCUUGUUGCAAGAAUUGUCCAUUUGAGAGUUGUGUGUGUAUGUGGGGAGGGGUUAUAGAUUUUAUCCAGUUGAGUGUUGUGUGUGUGUAUUUGGGGAGGGGUUAUAGAUUUGUCCAGUUAAUGGUUGUGUGUGUAUGUGGGGAGGGGUUAUAGAUCUGUCCAGUUCAGGGUUGUGUAUGUAUGUGGAGAGGUUAUAGAUUUGUCCAGUUGAGGAUUGAGUGUAUAUUUGGGUAGCAGUCUAUAGUCAGUUUGACUCCGAGGGCAUGUUCAUGAAGCCUACUGCUUUUUGGUCCUGAUAGACCUCAACCUUCUAUUACCAGAGGGGAGAGUUCUGAAUAUUCCAUUUCCAGGGUGAGAGGGAUCAGCCCCAAUCUUUGUCACUCAUAUAUUUCCUGGAGGUGUGUAGGUCUUGUAAAGAUGGUAGAUUGCAGCCAGGCACCCUCUCUGCAGAGCGGAUGAUGCACUGCAGCCUGCCUUGUCUUUGACAUUGGCUGCAGCGUACCAGACGGUGAUGGAGGAGGUCAGGAUGGACUCUAUGAUGGCAGUGUAGAAGUGCACCAUCAUAGCCGUUGGCAGGUUGAACUUUUUUAGCUGUCACAGGAAGUACAUCCUCUGCUGAGCUUUCCUUUGUAAGCAAAGUGAUGUUCACCUCCCAAUUGAGGUCCUGGGCGAUGGUGGUACCCAGAAAGCGAAAGGACUCCACAGAGUUGGCUGGGGAGUCACCCAAGGUGAUGGGGGAAAUGGUAGCUGGGCUUCUCCACUGUCUUUAAGGUGUUGAGCUCCAGGUUGUUUUGACUGCACCAGGACAGAUGGUCUAUCUCCCACCUCUAGACAGACUUGUCUCCAUCAUAAAUAAGUCUGAUGAGGGUGGUAUCAUCUGCAAACCUCAGGAGCUUGACAGAGAGGUGACUGCACUGCAAAAAAAUUUGCCAAUGGAACAAGAUAAUUUAACUAUGUUUGAGGAGAUAUUUGCUUGAAAUAACCAAAAUAAUCUGCCAAUGGAACAAGACAAAUUACACAAUAUUCAAAGCAUAUUUUCUAAAAACAAGCAGUAUAUUCUAGCUUGUACCUUAUUUUAAAGAAGG